rnacentral:rRNA from 1 species
GAUGAACGCUGGCGGCGUGCCUAAUACAUGCAAGUCGAGCGAACAGAUGAGGAGCUUGCUCCUCUGACGUUAGCGGCGGACGGGUGAAUAACACGUGGAUAACCUACCUAUAAGACUGGGAUCACUUCGGGAAACCGGAGCUAAUACCGGAUAAUAUAUUGAGCCGCAUGGUUCAAUAGUGAAAGACGGUUUUGCUGUCACUUAUAGAUGGAUCCGCGCCGCAUUAGCUAGUUGGUAAGGUAACGGCUUACCAAGGCAACGAUGCGUAGCCGACCUGAGAGGGUGAUCGGCCACACUGGGACUGAGACACGGUCCAGACUCCUACGGGAGGCAGCAGUAGGGAAUCUUCCGCAAUGGGCGAAAGCCUGACGGAGCAACGCCGCGUGAGUGAAGAAGGUCUUCGGAUCGUAAAACUCUGUUAUUAGGGAAGAACAAAUGGGUAAGUAACUAUGCACGUCUUGACGGUACCUAAUCAGAAAGCAACGGCUAACUACGUG